GACGAACGCUGGCGGCGUGCUUAACACAUGCAAGUCGAACGGAAAGGCCCUGCUUUUGUGGGGUGCUCGAGUGGCUAACGGGUGAGUAACUCGUGAGUAACCUGCCCUUGACUUUGGGAUAACUUCAGGAAACUGGGGCUAAUACCUGAUAGGAGCUCCUUCUUCAUGGUGUGGGUUGGAAAGUUUCGGCGGUUUGGGAUGGACUCGCGGCUUAUCAGCUUGUUGGUGGGGUAGUGGCUUACCAAGGCUUUGACGGGUAGCCGGACUGAGAGGGUGACCGGCCACAGUGGGACUGAGAUACGGCCAAGACUCAUACGGGAGGAAGGAGUGGGGAAUAUUGGAAAAUGGGCGGAAGCCGGAAGCAGGAACGCCGCGUGGGGGAUGACGGCCUUCGGGUUGUAAACCGCUUUCGCCGGUGACGAAGAGUGAGUGACGGUAAUGGGUAAAGAAGCAACGGCUAACUACGUG
rnacentral:rRNA from 1 species